UACGGGGGGGGCAAGCGUUGUUCGGAAUUACUGGGCGUAAAGGGUUUGUAGGUGGCUUGCUAAGUCGGACGUGAAAUCCCUCAGCUUAACUGGGGAACUGCGUCUGAGACUGGCAAGCUUGAGUGCAGGAGAGGAACGCGGAAUUCCAGGUGUAGCGGUGAAAUGCGUAGAUAUCUGGAGGAACACCGGUGGCGAAGGCGGCGUUCUGGACUGUAACUGACACUGAAGAACGAAAGCCAGGGGAGCAAACGGG
rnacentral:rRNA from 1 species